GUGGGGAAUUUUGGACAAUGGGGGCAACCCUGAUCCAGCAAUGCCGCGUGCAGGAAGAAGGCCUUCGGGUUGUAAACUGCUUUUGUACGGAACGAAAAGGCUCUGGUUAAUACCUGGGGCACAUGACGGUACCGUAAGAAUAAGCACCGGCUAACUACGUGCCAGCAGCCGCGGUAAUACGUAGGGUGCAAGCGUUAAUCGGAAUUACUGGGCGUAAAGCGUGCGCAGGCGGUGCUGUAAGACAGGCGUGAAAUCCCCGGGCUUAACCUGGGAAUGGCGCUUGUGACUGCAGUGCUGGAGUGUGGCAGAGGGGGAUGGAAUUCCGCGUGUAGCAGUGAAAUGCGUAGAUAUGCGGAGGAACACCGAUGGCGAAGGCAAUCCCCUGGGCCUGCACUGACGCUCAUGCACGAAAGCGUGGGGAGCAAACAGGAUUAGAUACCCGUGUAGUCC
rnacentral:rRNA from 1 species